GAUGAACGCUGGCGGCGUGCUUAACACAUGCAAGUCGAACGAUGAAAGCGGGAGCUUGCUCCUGCUGGAUUAGUGGCGAACGGGUGAGUAACACGUGAGCAAUCUGCCCCGAACUCUGGGAUAAGCGUUGGAAACGACGUCUAAUACCGGAUACGACGCGCGAAGGCAUCUUCUGCGCGUGGAAAGAACUUCGGUUCGGGAUGAGCUCGCGGCCUAUCAGCUAGUUGAUGAGGUAACGGCCCACCAAGGCGACGACGGGUAGCCGGCCUGAGGGGGUGACCGGGCACCCGGGGACUGAGAGACGGGCCAGAGUCCUACGGGAGGCAGCAGUGGGGAAUAUUGCACAAUGGGCACAAGCCUGAUGCAGCAACGCCGCGGGAGGGACGACGGCCUUCGGGUUGUAAACCUCUUUUAGAAGGGAAGAAGCGAAAGUGACGGUACCUGCAGAAAAAGCACCGGCUAACUACGUGCCAGCCGCCGCCGUAAUAC
rnacentral:rRNA from 1 species